UGGAAUUAGACAAGGAUGCCCUCUUUCUCCAUUUUUAUUUUUGUUAGUCACUCAAGCUUUGGCAGUACAUAUUAAGAAAAGUCAAUUUAAUGAUAUCAGUGCUUUGGGUGCAGAAUUUAAACUUAGUCAGUUUGCUGAUGACACGGCUUUUAAAAAAACGAAAUUGAGGUUCCAGUUACAAUUGAGUAUUCUCUGAUGCGUCGGGUCUUAAAAUGAAUCUGGAUAAAUCUGCAUUGUUUCCCCUAAAAGCUUGCUCGCUUACACACAUAGAAGGUAUUCUAUAUGUGUAACAACAUCUAACAUAUCUGGGUAUAGUCAUUUGCAAAAAUGAUUAACAAAGAAGCCAGUUAAAUUUUGAACCAGAAAGAAAUUUAACUUGUGGUUAAUUAGAGAUUCAUCAAUUUUUGGGAGGGUGGUGUUGUCCAAGGCAAAAGGUAUUUCCAGAUCUGUAUAUACUUCUUUAUCAUUAGAUGUGCCCUCUACUGUGAUGAAAGUUUUGGAUAAGAUAUUGUAUGACUUUAUCUGGAGGAAAAAAAAACAUUAUUUAAAGAAGGAGGUCAUAUGCAAUACUAAAGAACAAGGGGGGCUAGAGGUUCUGGAUUAUAGUAUAAUAAUACUUUCAAGAUUAGAUGGUUAAUAGAUUUUAUGAAAAAUAAAGAUAGUGUUUUGAAUGUAUUUCCAAAUUAUAUAUUUAACUCUAUUUGUGGCAUAACAUUUUUGAUAAUGCAAUUUUUCUGUUGAUUAAAAUUCCGAUUAAACUGGCUGGUUUCCAUAGGCAGGCCCUGUUAGCAUGGAAUUUGAUCUAUAAACACAAUUUUUCACCACACAGUUAUUGUAUUUGGAAUAAUAAAGAGAGAUUAUUUAAAAACAAAUCUCUUUUUUAUCAAAACUGGGUUAAUGAAGGGAUUAUUUUGGUAAAGCAGCUGUUAAAUUCUGAUGGGUAUUUGUUGUCUUACACCGAGUUUCUUGAAAAAUUACAACUACCAGUUAAACCAAGAGAUUUUGCUAUUGUUUUUGAUGCAGUUCCAAAGAGUGUUGUAUUUCUUUUAAAGAAUUUGAGUUCUUUGCAAAUUAAUAUAGAUGACUUCUGUGGUAGUUUAAACAUCGGCAAUGUUAAUAUCUUGAAACAAAAGUGUAACAAUAAUAUUAUAAGAAAUGCCCUCUGUUGUGUUUCUUUCCCUGCAGCAGAGUUUUUUGGUCUUCCUUAUUUGGUGUUAUAUUCGGUAAUAUUUCUUAUGCUUGCGAAUUUUGUGGUCAGGAAAAGGAAGCAAUUUUGCAUCUGUUUUAUCAUUGUAUCUACUCAAGACUUUUUUGGAAGGAUAUGGAAAAUUUAUAUUAGUAGAAAAUUGGGUUGUGUGGUAGAAAUUGGUGUAUGUGAUGUGCUUUUUUUAUUUUGAGGGAUAUAAUUUGGAAAGUAAUGAACAAUAUAUUAUACAACUAUUCAUUGUAUUAGGAAAGUACCAUAUACACAAAACAAAGUGGGCCCUUUGUAAACCAAAUCUGUCCCAUUUUAUUAAUGAUUUCAAGUUAUACAGUAAUCUUCUGGAGAAAGUAAAAAAACAAAAAAGCUCAGAAAACGUGAUAUUUUAAAAGAAUUCAAGUUUUUGUAACUUUUUUCCUUUCUUUUCUGGUAGCCAAUGUGACCGAUACCUCUUGUUGUAUGGCAUUGAACAAAAAAUGUGUAUUUAUGUUUUGUCUUUUUGCAAUAAUAAUAAAAAAAAGUCAUGUGUUGACAUCGAGGAGAAUUUAUUUUAAAAAUGGUGCUGUUCCUCCUGGUAAAUAUCUCUUUAAAACUGUUUUAUUAUCCGUGGGAACUAGUGACCUAUUUGUGUGAACAUUUCUUUAUGUGCAACUCUUGUAGUUGAGGUCGGUUCGAGUAUAAUCGGCGUGAUCCUCGUAUCACGUGCAAAUAUAAGUUUCAGUUCAUUGAAUUGCAUUAAAUUCUGUUGCCGUGUGUGUUUCUUUCUUUACCACCCAGUUACAUUUUUGGUACCAGGAGUGGGGUAUUCUGACGGUCGGGAACAGUAUAGUGUAGAUCACAUCAUUGUUUUUUUGUUUUUUUUUUAAAUACGGUAGUGGCUGGUGCUUGAGUUGCAGGUCUCGCAGUGGGAGUGGUCAGCUGUGUGGUGUUCGUCCAGCUGCUGAAGACGUCGGCCGAGGGACAGGAGACAUCGCUAGCUGCUACUGAACUGCGAGUGUGGUUGCGGAUCGGGAACCAGUGAUGGGUGUUUGGCAGAAGUGGACGAGAGUGUUGUAUACACAUUACAGACAGUAUAUCCUUUGAACUGGGAAACAAAGAGAUUCUCACAAAGACUUUGUGUUGUUGAAAAGACUUUUAAGCACGUCGCAGCCGGAGGAAGAGGCUGGGAUAGAACAUGGUGCUGCUAGUGGGAAGGGUGUGGGUAAUGUGCAAGAACAGAUAGAAGAGCUAAGAAGGAAGAAUGCUGAAGCGUUGGCAGCUAAUGCCAACCUGAGUAGAGAACCAACUAGGUCCUAUUUAUAUGUGCCCAGAGAGCACCACAUUCAGCCUUUUAGUGGCGAUCUAUGCAAAGAUGGUAGAAAUGUGGAUGAGUUUAUUGAAGAGGUGGAAAGAGUGCUGCUUGUGAGAAAUCAAACACCUGAAGAUCAAGCUGAUUUUGUUCUUUCUCUGCUAAAAGGUGCUGCUGUAGAAGAGGUUAGGUUAAGGCAAGGGUUGCGUCCGCCACAAACAGAGGACAUUUUUUUGUAUUUAAUAUCGGCUUUUAGAGAAAUAUGCAGUACAGCUCAGCUGUUAGACAUUAUACACUCGCGGACAGCUGGAGGGUGAAGACCUCUGUACGUACUCUCAUGCCCUUUCACAGAUGUUGAAUAUUAUUUCAAGGCAGUCCUCUGAUGCUAUCGCCAAUGCUGGCCUUGCACUUAGAGACCAGUUUGUUGAGGGAGUCAGAGAUGUAACACUCCGAAGAGAGCUUCGUAAGUUUGUCAGGGACAAACCACAGUCUACUUUGAUCAAAGUAAGGGAUGAGACAUUAAUGUGGUCUCUCGAAGAUAGCAAACCGCGUGCUAGUAAGUUAGCCAGUAAUUAUAGCAUAACCUCUGAGGCUACAGAAGCUCAGUGUGCGGCUAUGGUGAUGCCUGUAGCGGGCUCUGUAACACUUGAUGUUCUGAAAGUGGUAGCAGAGCAGGGCAAAGCCAUAGGGGAGUUAACUCAAGCUGUUCAAUCCAAAUAUUUGCAGUACAGACAAUUGUUAAAUAUAUAUUGCUUUAAAAUGUGCAUGUUGGACACAAAGGACUUUAACCUCUUCAGGACCUCGCCCCCUUUUUGCAGGGCUUCAAAUCAUCCUCAGCUGAUACCAAUUAGCUUACCUGCUAUACGGCGUGCCGCAGAUAUAAAACAGCAGAGAGAGACAGCUCGAGGAGAGUUUUUCCUUAUACGCUAUCCCAGCACUGUGGUUGUUGUAUUUCCUAUUAAGCAAUUGGUGAACUGUAAACAUGUGAGGUUACAACGACGUUAUUGUUGAUGUGCUAGUCUGCCUUUGUCAACCGGUGUUGCGAGAUGAGCGCCGAUUUAUUUGGGUUUAUACCCCUUCUAUAUUUUUCACCUGUUUUUCUUUAGUCAGGGUGAGAGGUGAGAAUAUUGUUUUUAAUUAUGGGCAGGGAAGUUACUUUGUUAACCUUAAGUAGGUUUCUGUUUUGUUUGUUGUUUUCUGCAUUUGCUCUCUCCUGACUCCUUGGUUGUUUAGGCUUAUUUAUUCUGGCAUUUGUAUAUAACUUGUAUUUAUUGGCUUUUGUUGAGCCCUGAACAAUAAACUCAAUUUAAGAAU